UUUUUUUUUUCAUUUCUUGUUUGUAUUUUAUUUCAUUUAUUUAUUUUUUUUAAGCUUUGCAAGAUGAUGAUUUGAGCCAUGAUUAUAGUUUUGGUUCCACUCUCUUACAUUUUCAUUUUUAACUUUUAUGUUUUCCUCUUCUUCUUCUUCUUCUUCUUCUUCUUCUUCUUUCUUUCUUUCUUUCUAUCUCUCAUUGCCUCUGUUUUCACAUCCUUAAAUGGCAUUUUGGGAUAAAUUUUAUUUUGGAUCUUAAAUCAUCAGAGAACGCUGAAAAAAGUACAAUGGGGAUGCUAGUUAUGGAAGGAGAUUUAAAAAUUUGUUCUUUUUCUGGGUUUUCGAUUCUGUUCAUGAACAGUUUUGAAAAAUUUUCAAAUUCAUUUUUGUGUUUUACUUACUUUGGCUUUUUCUUUUUGGGUGAGGGGCUGUUCAUUACGUUUAUGCAGUACCAAUUAAUGAUUUGUAAUUCCUGUAUUGACUAUAAAGAUGACAACUUUAGAGUUCUCUUGAUAAUGGAUAUUACUUGAUAGUAAAAUUUUAGGAAUUUCUCUUAGAUUUUCAGGGUUUUUCAAUUUAUUUUUUACAUUUUGUUGUGGGUAUAUUUCAAAUAAUUGAAUUCGACAUCUUAAAGUGUUUAAUAUUAAUUACAUGAUCUAAAGUUUUAACCUUUAUGUUCUGGGUCAAUUCUGAUUGAGCUAACCGUAGUCUUGGACCUUUUCGUAUCCCCUGAAUUCUUCCUCAAAUCACUGAAUUAGACAGCUUAAAGUGUUUAAUGUUAAUUAUAUUGUCUAAAGUUUUAACCUUUAUGUUCUAGGUCAAUUCUGAUUCAACUAACAAUAGUCUUGGACCUUUUUGAAUGCCCUGAAUUCUUCCUCUAUCCGUGCACAUUUGUUUCUUUUUCUGGUUUGGGUUUGUUUUCAACUUAUAUUAUUCUGCACAAUUACUGUAGAUUCN
rnacentral:lncRNA from 1 species